rnacentral:tRNA from 1 species
UUUAGGGAGACCUACCUACUCGAUAUCUGAAAGCAUAGUGCGAUUAGGACAAGAGUUGGUCAUCCCAAGGUCGUUCAAGUUAUGAGUGCUGUCUUCUAAGCUAUUAUGGUUCGGUUCGUGGGCUAUUAGCUCAGGUGGUUAGAGCGCACCCCUGAUAAGGGUGAGGUCCCUGGUUCGAGUCCAGGAUGGCCCACCUUUGUAUCUAUCAGCUUUCAUUUUGAUGAGAGAGAUAUUGAGGGGGUUUAGCUCAGUUGGUAGAGCGCCUGCUUUGCAAGCAGGAUGUCAACGGUUCGAGUCCGUUAACCUCCACUGUCCAUUUUCUUUAUUUUUUAGUGAAGAAGAGACAAGAGUCAUAGCAACUCAUCUUGAGCAUCAAGAGAGCCUGCUGUGACGUAGAGUCCAGCCAGAACCUUGAAAACUGCAUAGUAAUUUGUCAGGUAGGAAUCGAUUGAUUAAG